UACGAGAACCCCAAGCGUUAUCCGGAAUCAUUGGGCGUAAAGGGUGUGUAGGUGGUUCGGUUAGUCUUCUGUCAAAAUCUCGGGCUUAACCCGGGAAUUGCAGGGGAAACGGCCGGACUAGAGGAUGCGAGAGGUGAAUGGAACUCAUGGAGUAGGGGUGAAAUCCGUUGAUAUCAUGGGGAACACCGAAAGCGAAGGCAAUUCACUGGCGCAUUCCUGACACUGAGACACGAAAGCGUGGGUAGCGAACGGG
rnacentral:rRNA from 1 species